GACGAACGCUGGCGGCGUGCCUAAUACAUGCAAGUCGAGCGAAUCUUUAGGAGCUUGCUCCUGAAGGUUAGCGGCGGACGGGUGAGUAACACGUGGGCAACCUGCCUGUAAGACUGGGAUAACACCGGGAAACCGGUGCUAAUACCGGAUAAUUCUUUUCCUCACAUGAGGGAAAGCUGAAAGUCGGUUUCGGCUGACACUUACUGAUGGGCCCGCGGCGCAUUAGCUAGUUGGUGAGGUAACGGCUCACCAAGGCGACGAUGCGUAGCCGACCUGAGAGGGUGAUCGGCCACACUGGGACUGAGACACGGCCCAGACUCCUACGGGAGGCAGCAGUAGGGAAUCUUCCGCAAUGGACGAAAGUCUGACGGAGCAACGCCGCGUGAGUGAUGAAGGCCUUCGGGUCGUAAAACUCUGUUGUUAGGGAAGAACAAGUAUCGGAGUAACUGCCGGUACCUUGACGGUACCUAACCAGAAAGCCACGGCUAACUACGUGCCAGCAGCCGCCGUAACAC
rnacentral:rRNA from 1 species